rnacentral:tRNA from 1 species
GGAGGAAUGGCCGAGCGGUUGAAGGCGGCGGUCUUGAAAACCGUUAGGGUCGGAAGGCCCUCGGGGGUUCGAAUCCCUCUUCCUCCGCCA